CGGUGGUCCAUGGUCCCAACUCGGUCGGCGAGCUACUGCACCGCGCGGGAGCUGGUGAGUUCCGCGUUGAGGUAAUCUCGCUUAGAUUGAAGCCUGCCGGGGUUGCUCGUCGCCUAGCAUCUCCUCCGCCUAGAUUCGUCGCAAACAACCUCAUCUAGGGUCGAGCCAAUGGCACCAGUCCUUGACGAAGAUGCAUCGGGAGUUGACUACAGCUUAGUGUGGAGUGGCAUGCACCUAGGCGAUCUUAUACUGCUUAUAGACACCAAAGAAGCAAAAUCUGAGGUAUAUCAUGUGAUUCCUCUUCAAUUCUACUUGUCUAAUUUUAAUGUGUCGUGGUUUCAUAUAGAGUUUAUUUCUGUAUUUCAGGUUUAGUCGAACUUAUAACAUGACCAGUCAUGAUGCCGGUAUGGGAAACUAAACAAUUCAUUGUUGAAGUGAAGUAUCAAUCCUCGUCCGCUUUGUAUAGCCAAUAAUUAAAGAUUGAGAUGUUCAAAGAACUUUCAAAGUUGCCUAAUAUCUAUGACAGAUUUGCAAGAUUAUUGAUUAAGAACAUAUGUGAAUUGGACGGUGUUAAGAGGGGCCUGCCUUUCCAG